CCUAGAGCAGUUUUUUCUAGGUACCAAUACAAACCUCAUCACAGUAGUAGCUGUGGCUUAUCCUUUUGCAACACCUGUCAAGGUGUAGAAAGGAAAAGCAGCUUUCUCCUUCAAUGAACAGGUGGAACUGAAGCACGGGUUACAUUCAAACUCAAAUCACAUGGGAACUUGUUAUAGAAACAGGAAUUGAGCCUACAUCUCUUCAGUCUGCAUAUUACUUUAUUUUCUGAAAGUAGACUUCAGCUCACCUGAGUUUAGACAAAAGACUAGAGAGCUUAGCCUCAGUGGUGAAUAAAUGAUGGAAGGAGUCAUUUCUCCUGACAUCUAAAUCACCAUCACUGGAGGAGCAUUCAUCUCUCCACUGAUUAUACAAAGAACCUCAAUCAGAUGCUUGAAAUUAAGUUAUGUUGCGGCAAAGCUGUUGUGGUGUACAGCAGUGUUGCCAAGGGCAGCCUACACCUUCAGCAGCAGUACCACUGAAGCUGUCCCCACUUCCAGCACCUCAAUGCCACUCCUGUGCCAGGGAUAACAAAGGUAUGGCUUUAUAUGCAGCAAUAUACUACCUGGAUAAGGCUCCGGUACAGCUGAUACCUGCAAUUUUAAUGUGGGAUCAGUUGCACCUUCUGGUUUGCCAUGUUACCUUACAAAUGUUAUGUCAGUUCAGGUGUUGGAGAUGAGAAUUAUGGAGCAGUAUUUCUCCAUUUCCAGACAGUAAAGAAAUUACUGCUCCCAGCCACCUAUCUAAUGUUUCUAGUGGAUAUUUCUGCAUUUACCCAGGCUUAUGAUUUUUUUUUUUUGUAAUUUUUUUCCAUCUAGUGGCAGUAUUACCCAGUAUAUUCAGACCAACCAAGGCUGAUGUGCAUCUAUUUUAGUAGGCCAAAAUGGUGCUUCAGGAGCUCAACUGUAAGGGGAUCAGAUGGCUGUGUUAUGAGGAUAUCAGCAUACAUUGGUGUAAAGUGGACUGUUGUGAACAGAAAUAGUCCUGACCAUCCCUGUUACAUUCACUCCCCAAUGUCUGUCCUCAUUCUUGAAGAGGAAUCAUGGCUUCUUCUUAACUGUGGUCAUGAUACGGCUUUCAAAUAACACUACUUGGCUAGGACGUGAAACAUGGCUGGGAUGUGCCAGCUUUCCUUUAACAGAGGGAUUGUAUGGACACAUGAAAACGUGGAUGGCCAUUGCAAAAUUGAGUUAAAUGUAGUUUUGGAGUUUCUUUAUACUCAAAGUUUCACCUGCCAAGGUUGGGCUUUGACAGUCACAUUUUCCUAUUUUUAAUAUAUUUUUCUCUCCCCUGCUGCUGUGUGAAGCCACACAAAC
rnacentral:lncRNA from 1 species